GACGAACGCUGGCGGCGUGCCUAAUACAUGCAAGUUGAGCGCUGAAGGUUGGUACUUGUACCAACUGGAUGAGCAGCGAACGGGUGAGUAACGCGUGGGGAAUCUGCCUUUGAGCGGGGGACAACAUUUGGAAACGAAUGCUAAUACCGCAUAAAAACUUUAAACACAAGUUUUAAGUUUGAAAGAUGCAAUUGCAUCACUCAAAGAUGAUCCCGCGUUGUAUUAGCUAGUUGGUGAGGUAAAGGCUCACCAAGGCGAUGAUACAUAGCCGACCUGGGAGGGUGAUCGGCCACAUUGGGACUGAGACACGGCCCAAAAUCCUACGGGAGGCAGCAGUAGGGAAUCUUCGGCAAUGGACGAAAGUCUGACCGAGCAACGCCGCGUGAGUGAAGAAGGUUUUCGGAUCGUAAAACUCUGUUGGUAGAGAAGAACGUUGGUGAGAGUGGAAAGCUCAUCAAGUGACGGUAACUACCCAGAAAGGGACGGCUAACUACGUG
rnacentral:rRNA from 1 species